rnacentral:lncRNA from 1 species
UUGAGGAUUGAGCUAAACUACUGGAAUGAAAAUAUUGAUCCUAAGWGCGAUCUGUGUGACGCUCACGAUGACGCUCAGGAUGAGCAACAUGUGCUAUUUAAAUGUACACACCCUCAUGUUUGCAACCUUAGAAGGAAAUACGCAUUUUUGUUUAAUGGACAUGCCCUUUCCCUCUCAACUCCAGAGUCCCAAGCGGCACCGUUCCUGCAUGCAUCUCAUCAUGUCCCACCGCAUGCCAUGCGAUCUUUUUUGAAUUAAAACAAUAAUAAACUUUAUCCUUUCCUGCAUGAACUCUUACUUUUUUAUGAACAGGCUAGCAGUCAGUCGGUUUGACUGGAGGCCUUUCUUCUCUGUAACUGUAACUGUAAC